rnacentral:lncRNA from 1 species
AAUGGAAAUAUUAGAUCUAGUUAAAGAUGUGGCUACCCUCGCAAGAGCAUGAGCUGCCUCAUUUACUUGUCUCCUAUCAAACUCAACAUGAGAGUUUUCAAAAUACAAACUAAAAACACGUUUAGAUUCAUUCAACACAAACACCAAAUUCUGUAACAUCAUUUUGGCCUUUGUGAAAAUAAUUAACGACCUUUUUCGAUUCCAACACAAAAUCGACUCCUUCCAAUUGUAGUUCAUGAACCCAAUUGAUAGUGUGUAACAAUCCCAAAGCUUCUUCUAGAUCCACCUCACAUGUAGGUGAGGACCACAUUGUUUUAGCAAGCACAAAUCGACCUUCAUCAUCUCGUAUACAGAUGCCAAAAUCAAUGUGAUUUCGUUGUUUUCUGAAGGAGGCAUCAAUAUUGCAUUUAUAUCUUCCGGCUUCUUUGUUUUUUCCACCAAAUUUCACUGUUGUGCUCUUCAUGCACACUACUGUUGUUGUUACCCAUACCAACAGUUGGGUGUUUCAACUUAAUAGAAUUAGCAAGCCUCCAAUCUUCAAUCAUGUGUUUUGCGUGGUCAAAAAUCUGCAAAUUCUCUGUUACAUUAUUCCAUAAUUUCAAAUUUUGAUGUUAAGUUCCAUAUGCACCACACAAUCACAGCCCAUAAUGCUGCUUGUUUUAUAU